rnacentral:rRNA from 1 species
UCGGGAAUUUUGCGCAAUGGACGAAAGUCUGACGCAGCAACGCCGCGUGAGGGAUGACGGCCUUCGGGUUGUAAACCUCUUUUGUCAGGGACGAUGAUGACGGUACCUGACGAAUAAGCCACGGCUAACUACGUGCCAGCAGCCGCGGUAAUACGUAGGUGGCAAGCGUUGUCCGGAUUUACUGGGCGUAAAGAGCGCGCAGGCGGUCGUUCAAGUCGCUUGUGAAAGCCCCCGGCUCAACUGGGGAGGGUCACGCGAUACUGAUCGACUCGAAGGAGGGAGAGGGUAGUGGAAUUCCCGGUGUAGUGGUGAAAUGCGUAGAUAUCGGGAGGAACACCAGUGGGGAAGGCGACUACCUGGCCUGUUCUUGACGCUGAGGCGCGAAAGCUAGGGGAGCAAACGGG